UUUGUUCACCUGUAGAGAACAAGAGGGUGCAAAGUUGGAGCUCACAAUGUGAGCGAAGGAGCAAAACUUGGCUUCAAUAAGUAAGUAGUGUUUGCUAAUCACUACCCACGCAUGCAAGGCUGUUGGAAUGGGUCUCCAGGUUCAGACAGCACCUGAAAGGAUUGGGUGAAAAGUGAGUGAUGAGACACCUGUGGAGACAAGGAGGUCAGCAAAUGCUAGAGAUGGAGACACCUGCUCCAAAUCACCACCACCAUGACACACAUACGGGGGAAACCUGCACCUAUACCAGUUCCGGGCUUGGAAUUAUGUUGCAGGACCAACAUUGCUGUGCACACUUUUGGGAACCUACACAGUCGAUGAAUGUGGCUUCUAACCAUAGCACUAAACUUGUUCUUGCCCAGCUAUUCUUCACAGAGCACCACAAAGGCCCUUCCAACCCGUUCACCACUGAGCUCACAGCAACCAGCCAGCGGGUGCCACCGGGGACACGAUGUAAGCAGUGAGCAAGCGUCCUUCUAUCACAAGCAUCAGUGCGACUCUUUGGCUACUGAAGGGACUAAAGGACAGGUUCAGCAUGCAGAGCAGCGUCUAUGGCUUGAGGUGGCCUCCUUUCACUAAGGAACUGAACCACAAGGCAGGCAAAAUGGUGCUUUCAACACAGAGACAAAGCUUGCAAAGGGAACAGAAAGGAAGAAGGGCCUCUGCACGUGGUCAGCCUUCCCUGCUAAUGACUACUGCUUGGACCACUCUGAGAAGCUAUGGAAAUGUGUUCCUGCUACCCCUUUUGGAUGUGGCAGACCAAACCCUAAACAGCAGCUUUCCUGUGAGAAGCCAGGUGCUGAAACUGGCUUCUGACAGACAGGACACAGGGAUCCAUGGGAUUUUCAAAUGAAAAGCAUUUCUAAGUGAAGGAGGUGAUUCCAAAUGGUUGGCCCAGAAUGAUGGAUGAUUUCCUGACACUCAGGUUGUUGCUGUUUGUGUCACUGAAGUGUUCUUGCCAUACGACAUUUACUUUUGAGAAGCUUACAUGUCAGCACUCGCAGCCAUUUGCUUGUUUAUUCACUGGCAUCAUGAGCAAAGCAGAUACAGAACCACCACACCCUCCAGGCAUCUAUUGGGUGAGCGUUUUCAGUGGAGUUUGUUUGGUCUGCGCCUUUGGAUGAAGCCCAGCGCCCAGGUUCCAGUUCCACAGCGCACAGUCCUGAGCUGGCCCCUUGGAGAUCUUGAAUUAGGGGCAGCAGUCACCCUGAGGACCCCAUGCUGUAAAAGCCCGCUAGUGGCGACUCCCAGUGGUACCCGUAAGCAAGCAAGAACAGGUAAACUGGGGCUUCUAGGUGGGAGUAGAGAACCCGAAAUUACAACCUCAUCUUGGUCUUUUGAUUGCGGCCCUGCCGGCUUACGCGCACACUGCUUGCACACAGACCUCUGUACCCGCACGGGUGUGAGUACACAUUAAAUACUGCUAUUUACUGAGUGCUUUUCCCAUAAUUAUCUCGUGAGUCCCUCCCACAACCCCACUAGCAUGCGUUGUAUGAUUAUAUAAUUUACACAUUUGUGAAUAUUACGAUCACUUUGCAGACGUGGAAGUGAAGUCCAGAGCCCUGACAGUACCGCCAGGCCCCGCAACUGAGCUGGCCGGCGCAAGACUCACCGUGAAGACCUUCUCGGGCUGUCCCCGUGCGCGCAUGUUGGUGUCGUGGAUCAGCUUCAGGAUCAUCCAGGCUUCGUCGUGCUUUCCAACCUAAAGACAUGUUGGGCAGACAGUGAGGCCCCGUUUGCUAGUGACGCCUGCUUGUCCGCAGUCACCUCCUCGCGUCGUCCACACCCGUGCAGUGCGGCUGUGCAGCGGCCUCAGCUGCCUCCCUUGGGGACACACGGGCAGCACUGACUACGUGAGCAGUGCAAGCGACAAGUCUCUUGCCACGAGCAGAACCUGUGGCUGGAAACUCUCAGUUUUGAAGCAAGAAGCCACACUCUUUGAGCGAAAAGUUACUUGACUAAGGAGGGAUUUAUUUCUGGCCAGCAGGCAGCUGGAAGCGCACUGCUUAGAGCACAGCUGCGUGAAGCCAAGGCUUUCACCGUUCCACAGCGGGAAGGAGAUUCUCCUCUCCCAGGAGGAAACCUGGCUCCUAGCACCAGCCGGCUACCUUUCCCAACGUUCGUGGCUGGGCGAGGCUCUGUAGGACCAACUUACCUCCAGCAAGAACCUCGGGCUCUCGGGCAUGAACGUGAGCGCCACCACCGAGGAGAUGCAGGGCAGUGCGCAGACAAUGACGAAAACGCGCCAGCUGUGGAACUGGUAGGCCGAGCCCAUGCUGAAGCUCCACCCUGGGAAAGGAGGACGGGGAGAGUGAGGCAGGCGCCCCCAGAUGGCCCGUGGGGAAAAGCACUUGUGGGUGUCUGCACCUGCACCUUUUUAGUCAAGGCUAACUAUCGCAAAGUCAUUGAUCAGCCUCAGUACUAGUGCCAGGAAGGAUCAAAGCCUAGGUGGGGUGUGCAUGUGGGCUUAGGUGAAACCAAGUCCCCAAAUUACAGUGGGAGAGCGCUUUCUCCAAGGGCACCCACUGUGCUGCCUACUCCUACACAUCACACUUUAGGUCAAGAGAAUGUUCACCUUGCACAGGCAAAGAUUUAAUAUCUCAAUAUUAGGAAAAUAGGACAUUUUAGACAUAAAAGAAUAAAAACAACCACAACAGGUUGCAAAUAAAAAUUUUUUGAAGAAAAGGUGGCCAGGAUUUGAAUGAAUAUAAAAUGGUCUAAAGCAAAAUCCAAAUGUGGUUCUGAAUGAGAAAUAAUGAUGCAUGUCAAAUCUAAUUGGAAACAGAAGAGAUUUAUAGAGGUAUAGAUGAAUUAUAGGAAAUGAAAUUUUAUUUGCGAGCAAAGCUUGACAUUUAUAGAGCUUUCUGGGAAGAAAAUUCAGGUAGUCUGCAUGCACCACAUCCCCUGGAGAGCUGUAAGAUGAUUUGUCGCUUGCAUGACCAAGAGAGCAAGCAUCUGGAGGAGACAUGAGUCCUCAAGGCCAAGAGCAGAAGUCCCCUCCCAUUAUCCCUUUCUGCUUGGUGUGCAGGUAGGCACACACGUACGUGUAUACACACGCGUGUGGUGGUCUCCCUGUACACAGAGGGUGCAUUAUCUACUCACUGCUCUCUCCACUCAUCUGCAUCUAUUUUCUUUCAGUCUCCAAAACUACUUUCUACCUUUUGUCCUUCUCCAAGUUUCCAGCAGCCAGUUCCACUCUUUGUCCUUGACCUUACUGGCUGUUUCUCCGAGAAAAUCAACACAGGAAGAAUCACAUGCAUCUCAUCUGCUUACCCUGAAAGGACUGUACCCCUAUUCCUGCCUUCCUUUUGAGUAUGGCAGGUGACUUCCAUGGGUCAGCCUGAGGCUGUUGGGUCUACUCUGCUCUUUUGGGGACAACAUUCCUGUAAUCUCAGCAUUCUGGGAAGGCUGAGGCAGGAGAACCACAAGCUUGAGGCCAACCUGGCUAACUUAAUGACUUAGCAAGACUCUCCCUCUCUCAAAAAAAAAAAAAAAAAAAAAAAAAAAAAAAAAAAAAAAAUCAAAAAGGCUGAGGAUGUAGCUCAGUCCAGAGGCCCUGGGUUCCAUUCCCACUAACACAUACAAUAUGCACAUACCUUACCCUUUGUAAUUGGUGGAAUCUCAACAUGAUUUUUUCAUGAAUUUUCCUAAUGUUUCAUGAAACCUUCGAUAGCUUCUUGUCCAUUCUUUUGUAAUCUUAUUGAACAUCUGUAUGCAUCAGUCACAAUGAUAUGGGAGAAAUCAGUGUCACUCCCAACCUACUAGAUGUCAGGCAUGCCGAGUUUGCGCCCCCACACUGUGAAGAGUAUAUACAGUGAGAUCUUUGUCUAAAGUCAGCCUGGAGGCCUCUGGUACCAGGAGAGCCCCUACAGCCACAGCUGUAAGGCGUGCAGGCCAUCCCUUUGCUGCUGUCUAAUCCAUGACUCAGGUACCCUGCAGACUGCUGAGCAGGUCCCGGAUGCUGUAAAAGCACUCCCAGGGCCAUACCCUGCCUUUUAGUGCUGGGUAUUCAGAAGCACUUGUUCAAGAUUCUGUAGUACCAUUUGGGAAUCAGGUUCCCAGGGUAAAAUUACAACCAUGGCUGAAGGUGCACAGGUUGAAGGCCAGGCCUCAAGAUAAAGACAGAAUGACCAAGCCCACAUACCUCCCCAGGGGAUAAGCAGGGUCUUCUAAUUGGUAUCACCUGAUCCCAUAAAAUCUAGACAGACACCAGUCACCCAACUGGGUGACAGGAUCUUCUGAUCCAUCCCUUCCUAAAAAGGUCUUUGUUCUUUCCAUGUACACUCUACUCACCUCUACAGAGAUAUUGUCCUUGAGGAUCUUGAACAAAGUUAGAUAGGGAUGGUGUCAGCCCAGUAGAGGCUUCAUUUAAGGUUGAAUUGGAAGCCUCAGCCUUGAGAGUCCAGAGGGCAGAGGGAGCCUCAGGCUCAGUAACAGCAAAUGCGUCUGAUUAAUGGCCAGAGGUGUCUGUUUUCCUUGUGGGUUGUAUUUAUAUGUUGAACACAAGAAAGGAUUCUCUCAUCAUGCAAAAAAAGUCUUAAAAUAAGGUAACUCAUUUUCCCUCUCUCUUACAGUAAGAUUUUAAUUAUAAAAUAGUAUCAAUACUGCUCGCCAUAUUACAUUUUGUUUCUAGGGCGUAGGCAGACCACUUGGGGGCACAGAAAAAUAUUAGACAGCUCUUUUUCAAUAUGUGAAGUUAAAUAGUUUUUAUGCUUGAGAAUACAUUCUAAAGGAAUAAGAGAAUUUGACACUGAGUUUUCCAAAAACAACUAGGAGGAAACUAGACAUUCCUUAGAAUUCCUUGUUUUCAUGUGCCCUCAAAGUGUCCCUGAAGUGACCUGCUCCACAGCACGUGGCUGCUAUCUGAACAGUGGCCAGAAGGCAGGUUCGGUCGGAAAGCUCACCCUGAUGGACGCACACUCUUGUCUUCUCGGGAAACACACCCUGACUCCAGCAUGUGUUUCCAAAAGUGCAAGCUAAAACUGAUUCAGCUGUAACAGUCAUGUGUAAAGAAGGAGGCAUGGCUAGCGAGAUUAAAAUAAUAAUCCGGAGACUUAAUCAACUGCUUUUCAAUGCUUUGAAAGAGAGUGAGAGGGGAAAAAUUCAAAGAGCAAAUUGGAAGUGGCUGGAGCACUUUGCAGCCUGUCAGAGAUCACCUUGGAUAGAGAAUUGGAAGUCUUUAAUUUUUUGAGACCCAUACAUUCAUGAGAGAAGAGAGAGGAAAAAACCCUGGAAUUAUAAUUGUUAGAUUUCUGUGAUCCAGCAUGAAUAUUCUAAUGGAACUGGUGCCAGUUAAUCCUGACAUGCUAACUUCAUUGCAUUAAGAGAUGCACCCCGUCCCUUGCCUGUGGAUUCUGACCCAGAACAAAACACCUCACACCUGAUCGUGACGCAGCUGCUCCACUCAUGACCAGGCUCACAGCCACUCUUAGAGUUUUGUCCUUUACAUCACAGAAAUUCCAUCCAACAAGUGGGAAAACUACAGCCACAAAGACCUAGGUGCUGUCACCGCCAGUCCCGUGCCUGAAGCGAGGGGACGUCAUACCUCCCUCUGAGUCCAGCUGACUAACGCAUGGCUCUGGAAAGGAUCUAAGUUGCGAAAGAUGGCCUUGAACUUGCCACCCUCCUCCCUCAGCCUCUCAAAUAGCUGGAAUUUACAGGUAUGCACCACCAUCUGGGCAUGGAGUUUUAAAGCAGCUGAUUUCUAACUUAAUUUCCCUGUGAUAAGAGCACAUGCUUGGUAACCGUCUGAACUGUCUUGGGACUUGCUUUGUGCCAUAGCUCCACGUGCCCCAUGUUUGGAAUUGUUCCACAACUAAUAAUAAAGGUGAGGGCUGGGCCUAUGUCUCCCCCAGCAGGCCAA